GGGGUUAUAGCUCAGCUGGGAGAGCGCCUGCCUUGCACGCAGAGGUCUGCGGUGUACGAUCCCGCAUAACUCCA
rnacentral:tRNA from 1 species